rnacentral:tRNA from 1 species
UGCGAGUUCGUCUAACGGUAGGACACGACCCCCUGGAGGUCGGUAUCCUGGUUCGAAUCCAGGACUCGCAGCCA